rnacentral:rRNA from 1 species
GCCUGUCCCAGUUCGGACUGGAGUCUGCAACCCGACUCCACGAAGUUGGAUCCGCUAGUAAUCGCGCAUCAGCCAUGGCGCGGUGAAUACGUUCCCGGGCCUUGUACACACCGCCCGUCAAGCCAUGGGAGCCGGGGGCGCCUGAAGUCCGGGACCGCGAGGACCGGCCUAGGGCGAAACUGGUAACUGGGGCUAAGUCGUAACAAGGUAUC